rnacentral:rRNA from 1 species
UGGGGGAUAUUGCACAAUGGGCGAAAGCCUGAUGCAGCGACGCCGCGUGGGGGAUGAAGGCCUUCGGGUUGUAAACUUCUUUUGCUCUGAACAAGGCGCACCAUGGGGUGUGUUGAGUGUAGGGGUUGAUUAGCGCCGGCUAACUACGUGCCAGCAGCCGCGGUAAUACGUAGGGCGCGAGCGUUGUCCGGAAUUAUUGGGCGUAAAGGGCUUGUAGGUGGCUGGUUGCGUCUGUCGUGAAAGCUCAUGGCUUAACUGUGGGUUUGCGGUGGGUACGGGCUGGCUUGAGUGCAGUAGGGGAGGCUGGAAUGACUGGUGUAGCGGUGGAAUGCGCAGAUAUCAGGAGGAAUACCGGUGGCGAAGGCGGGUCUCUGGGCUGUUACUGACACUGAGGAGCGAAAGCAUGGGGAGCGAACAGG